rnacentral:lncRNA from 1 species
GGAGAAUACUGUUAUGAGAAUAAGCUAUAUGAUCUCAGUAUAUGUUCAGAUAAUCUCAUCAUGCUUUAUGAGAAUUGACUUGAUGCAAAUCUUCGAAUAUGAUAUUUAAAUUAAAUGCCUUGAUAUGUAUCUGAUAUGAUGAUAUGUUUGGAAAGGGAGUUAUAUAGGUCCUUGGAUUGAGUGUUAGAUAGAAUAAGAGAUGUUUAUGGAUUUUUCUUGUAAGGGAAUUAAAGAGGAUAUUAAGGAUCUAAUCGGUGUUAUGCAAAGUAAGUUUAUGUUAUACUUAUGAGAUUAAAAUUUUUAAAUAUUGAAUGGUUAAAUUUACUAUUAUGGAUCUUCAUUUAGGAGAAUCACUUAUAGAAUAUAAGGAUAGUAAGUGCUAGCCGAUUAAGGAAGAAUAAAUUAAGUCGGAAAAAUAUUAUGAGAUUUGGAAUUUCUUAAUUCAAGUGAAUUUCGAGGACGAAAUUCUUUAAGGGGGGUAGAACUGUAACGCUCCAUUUUUCUGUGUCCGAAAUAGUAAGUUAUCGGUCUGUGAAUAGUGCCAUCGGUCCGAGAAUAAGUAUUAUUUUGGUCCGGAAAAAUUACUAUCUAUGUGUUAUAUUUUAUUUAAUAUUUUUGGAGUAUGUAUACAUUAUUUUUAUGGGUAGAAAGUAAGUAAUGAAUAUUUUUU